rnacentral:rRNA from 1 species
GACGUAGGGCGCGAGCGUUGUCCGGAUUCAUUGGGCGUAAAGGGUGCGUAGGCGGCGCGGUAAGUCGGGUGUGAAAUCUCGGGGCUUAACUCCGAAACUGCAUUCGAUACUGCCGUGCUUGAGGACUGGAGAGGAGACUGGAAUUUACGGUGUAGCGGUGAAAUGCGUAGAUAUCGUAAGGAAGACCAGUGGCGAAGGCGGGUCUCUGGACAGUUCCUGACGCUGAGGCACGAAGGUCAGGGGAGCAAACGGG